GCUCCAGUGGCUUAGUGGUUAGAGCAUUUACCUCAGAUGUAGGAGGUCAUGGGUUCGAACCCCAUCAGAGUCA